AUACGUAGGGUGCGAGCGUUAAUCGGAAUCACUGGGCGUAAAGCGCACGUAGGCGGUUUGUUAAGUCGGAUGUGAAAUCCCCGGGCUCAACCUGGGACCUGCAUUCGAUACUGGCAGACUUGAAUACGGUAGAGGGGGGUAGAAUUCCAGGUGUAGCGGUGAAAUGCGUAGAGAUCGGGAGGAACAUCAGUGGCGAAGGCGGCCACCUGGGACAACACUGACGCUGAGGCACGAAAGCGUGGGGAGC
rnacentral:rRNA from 1 species